GCUAUACUGUACUCCAUCAUAGCUUUCAGUUUUGAUUACACCCUUCUCAGGCCAUACAAGAUGAUUUGAAAUAUAUAUUACACUGACCACAAGAGUGUCAGUUGUUGUUGAAGAAUCAUUGGACUGUGGAUUACUACGAGACUUGGUCGUUGCCAUGAUGCUUGUCAGCGAUCACACAUGUUUUAUUCACCCUGACCGUGACCUGACAGGCCCACAGGCAGAAGGGACCACCCUGAAGGACAUGCUACUUUGCUAUUUUGAUAUUUUCUUUAAUCCCUGAAGAAAAAAAAUGCAGUUGUCAGAACUUUAUUGUAUUUCUAAGUCGCUUCUUUUAUAUUUACGAAUUGUCUUGCAGGUCAGAUGAAACUGUCUCAAGGGACACAAAUGGCCUCCGGAUGCCGGACAUCCCUUUAUACUGUUCUCAGCGAUCAGUAGACACAUGCAGGGGAAAGGGAGCAUCAGCAAUGAGGAGAGAUGACAUGAAUACAGGGAAAGAAGCAGUUAACUCGAAGGCUGUUGCUGAAUCUUCUUAUGCCAUACUGAGCUCCAGCCUAGUGAUCUGUUUGGACACACUAGUCUUCCUACUGAGCUCUAUUUGACUUUAUUAAACAUUAUUUACCCAGCAAA